rnacentral:rRNA from 1 species
GUGAGGAAUCUUCCACAAUGGGCGAAAGCCUGAUGGAGCAACGCCGCGUGAAGGAUGAAGGUCUUCGGAUUGUAAACUUCUUUUAUGAGUGAAGAAUAUGACGGUAACUCAUGAAUAAGCACCGGCUAACUACGUGCCAGCAGCCGAGGUCAUACGUAGGGUGCAAGCAUUAUCCGGAGUGACUGGGCGUAAAGAGUUGCGUAGGCGGUUAUGUAAGCGAAUAGUGAAACCUGGUGGCUCAACCACACAGACUAUUAUUCGAACUGCAUAACUCGAGAAUGGUAGAGGUAACUGGAAUUUCUUGUGUAGGAGUGAAAUCCGUAGAUAUAAGAAGGAACACCAAUGGCGUAGGCAGGUUACUGGGCCAUUUCUGACGCUAAGGCACGAAAGCGUGGGGAGCAAACAGGAUUAGAUACCCUUGUAGUCC